rnacentral:rRNA from 1 species
AUACGGAGGGGGUUAGCGUUGUUCGGAAUUACUGGGCGUAAAGCGUACGUAGGCGGAUUGGAAAGUUGGGGGUGAAAUCCCAGGGCUCAACCCUGGAACUGCCUCCAAAACUACCAGUCUAGAGUUCGAGAGAGGUGAGUGGGAUUCCUAGUGUAGAGGUGAAAUUCGUAGAUAUUAGGAGGAACACCAGUGGCGAAGGCGGCUCACUGGCUCGAUACUGACGCUGAGGUACGAAAGUGUGGGGAGCAAACAGGAUUAGAUACCCCGGUAGUCC